GACGAACGCUGGCGGCGUGCUUAACACAUGCAAGUCGAGCGGAAAGGCCCCUUCGGGGGUACUCGAGCGGCGAACGGGUGAGUAACACGUGGGCAACCUGCCCCGGUGACCGGGACAACAGUUCGAAAGGACUGCUAAUACCGGAUGAUGUGUGACCUGCCAAGUGGGCCACACCAAAUGGUAGCUUCGGCCUCCGCACCGGGAUGGGCCCGCGCCGGAUUAGCUUGUUGGUGAGGUAACGGCUCACCAAGGCGGCGAUCCGUAGCUGGUCUUAGAGGACGAUCAGCCACACGGGGACUGAGACACGGCCCAGACUCCUACGGGAGGCAGCAGUGGGGAAUCUUGCGCAAUGGGCGGAAGCCUGACGCAGCAACGCCGCGUGAGCGAAGACGGCCUUCGGGUUGUAAAGCUCUGGCAGGAGGGACGAAGCCACUCGGGUGAAUAGCCCAGAGGGUGACGGUACCUCCAGAGGAAGCCCCGGCUAACUACGUGCCAGCCGCCGCAGUAAAAC
rnacentral:rRNA from 1 species